UCCCUCAUAGCUCAACGGCAGAGCAUCCGACUGUUAAUCGGAAGGUUACUGGUUCGAAUCCAGUUGGGGGAG
rnacentral:tRNA from 3 species